rnacentral:lncRNA from 1 species
UUCUUACUGGAAAAGAUGAUACAAUUUCCCUGUAUUUACGUGCAUUAAGCCCUUGACACAAUCCCUUGUGAGUUUAACCUCAAGAUUAGGAUCUUCAGAAAGUGCAACAAAACAUCUGCCAUGUCUUUAGGGACAAAAUCCUUGACAUUUGCAUCCCUUUUAGCCUUGUGAUCAUCGAGAACAUAUUCGUGAAAUCUAUCGAAUUUUUUUUACAAAUCCUUCAUUUGCUUAACAUAUCCCUACAAGUCCAAGAAACUUAAACAGGGUAUCCAGUCUCCAAUAUUGAUUACACCAUUCAGCAAAAGCCACUGGUCUAACAACCCUUGAAGUUCAUCUAGCAUUAUUACGGAACUCUGGUCAUCGCGUUUUCAUUCACCGAAGUAUUUGUUGCUUAGUACCAUCCUUGUUAUAGAUGAGAGACUAAAACGCGAUUGUAAUGAGUAGUUCACAAAUUAUUAGGCACUUCAAUGAACAAAACUAGAAUUAAUAAAGCACAAAAUAAAUUAAAAAAAAUGUAAAAAACACAAGAAUUUUCACCCUAAGGCAAAAGGUUCAGAACCAGAAUUCCUAAUCCCCAUUUGUGCUUCCACCACUAAAAGAAUUAAUUGCAUUAACUGGAAUCAUGAACCGUCCAGUAGUUACAGAUCUGAGUCCCAAGCCAAGAAUCACUCAAUAUUACCAAUAAACCUCACAAUAAUGCCUCAACUGUUCACUCAAGAGCAGUAAUGUGAAAUCGGUCCGUAUACAAAUCACCCAACACUAGUAUUAUACGAUUUCACAAAGUAGAAUCAACAACUAAAUGAUUUCUACACAGAUUUGUGAAAG